rnacentral:rRNA from 1 species
AUUGAACGCUGGCGGCAUGCCUAACACAUGCAAGUCGAACGAGUGGCGGACGGGUGAGUAAUGUCUGGGAACCUGCCCGAUAGAGGGGGAUAACUACUGGAAACGGUAGCUAAUACCGCAUACCAUCGGAUGUGCCCAUAUGGGAUUAGCUAGUGGGGGGGGUAAAGGCUCACCUAGGCGACGAUCCCUAGCUGGUCUGAGAGGAUGACCAGCCACACUGGAACUGAGACACGGUCCAGACUCCUACGGGAGGCAGCAGUGGGGAAUAUUGCACAAUGGGGGAAAGCCUGAUGCAGCCAUGCCGCGUGUAUGAAGAAGGCCUUCGGGUUGUAAAGUACUUUCAGCGAGGAGGCGUUACUCGCAGAAGAAGCACCGGCUAACUCCGUGCCAGCAGCCGCGGUAAUUC